CCUACGGGUGGCAGCAGUCGAGAAUCAUUCACAAUGGGGGAAACCCUGAUGGUGCGACGCCGCGUGGGGGAAUGAAGGUCUUCGGAUUGUAAACCCCUGUCAUGUGGGAGCAAAUUAAAAAGAUAGUACCACAAGAGGAAGAGACGGCUAACUCUGUUCCAGCAGCCGCGGUAAUACAGAGGUCUCAAGCGUUGUUCGGAAUCACUGGGCGUAAGGCGUGCGUAGGCUGUUUCGUAAGUCGUGUGUGAAAGGCGCGGGCUCAACCCGCGGACGGCACAUGAUACUGCGAGACUAGAGUAAUGGAGGAGGAACCGGAAUUCUCGGUGUAGCAGUGAAAUGCGUAGAUAUCGAGAGGAACACUCGUGGCGAAGGCGGGUUCCUGGACAUUAACUGACGCUGAGGCACGAAGGCCAGGGGAGCGAAAGGGAUUAGAUACCCGUGUAGUC
rnacentral:rRNA from 1 species